rnacentral:tRNA from 1 species
GAGGGUGUAGCUCAAUGGUACAGUGUGUGCUUCGCAUGUAUCAUCUCCUGGGUUCAAUCCCCAGUACCUACA